rnacentral:rRNA from 1 species
CCUACGGGCGGCAGCAGUGGGGAAUAUUGGACAAUGGGCGAAAGCCUGAUCCAGCCAUGCCGCGUGUGUGAAGAAGGCCUUCGGGUUGUAAAGCACUUUCAGUGGGGAAGAAAGCCUUGGGGCUAAUACCCUCGAGGAAGGACAUCACCCACAGAAGAAGCACCGGCUAACUCCGUGCCAGCAGCCGCGGUAAUACGGAGGGUGCGAGCGUUAAUCGGAAUUACUGGGCGUAAAGCGCGCGUAGGCGGUCUGAUAAGCCGGUUGUGAAAGCCCCGGGCUCAACCUGGGAACGGCAUCCGGAACUGUCAGGCUAGAGUGCAGGAGAGGAAGGUAGAAUUCCCGGUGUAGCGGUGGAAUGCGUAGAGAUCGGGAGGAAUACCAGUGGCGAAGGCGGCCUUCUGGACUGACACUGACGCUGAGGUGCGAAAGCGUGGGUAGCAAACAGGAUUAGAUACCCGAGUAGUC